CUGGAAUCUGGAAUUCGUCCAAAGCCAGUCCUUUCGCUGACUAUUGUUCUUCACACUAUGCAAGGAUAAAGUCCUCCUAGAAAGCACUUCUAGGGUUCAUCCGACUUUUUAGAUGCCUGCUUCAGGAUGAGAGCCAGCACCUCAGGAACUGCAACCCCCUUGGUGCGGGAGCGGGUCCCCAGCCUGAGGCUCCUGUCACUCUCCUGCUCCGAAGUGCAACCAGCUCCCUGGAAGAGGUGGAGCAGCAUUUCAGCAGCAGUGAGUACAAGCCUGCUCCCUGGGAAGUGCAGCAGGUGCAAGAGAAAUUAAUGACCCCGCAGGAACUUGUCCUGGUUUCUCCAGUUUUCUGAAGCCUCAAGGACUCUUUGGUUAUUACAAGGACUCUUCAAUGUCAUGUCAUUUUAGGAUGGAAAAAGUGGCAAAAGUCAUUGUGUUUGUAGCGUUGCUAGUGCACUGGCUGCAACAGCGCGGCUUUGAGGAAAGCGCACCUCCCGUUUGCUUGCUACAACUUUUCUUGCAAACUCAAGACUUCACUCAGAAAUGGGCCAGCUAAACCAUGCUUAACAUAUAAGAUCAUAGCACAGGCUUGUAUGGCCAGAGGUCAAAAAAGGGGCCUAAAAUAGUGUGUCUCACCCUAGUGCCUCACAAAGCAAGAGGAGUAACAGCUGAAUGCAUCUGGCCGAGAUUCGCUAUCCCACCCUGACUGCACGCAGAAUAGACAUAGCGAUAGUAUAGAUUUAGGUAAGGGAUAUUCCUCACAUACACCUUAGUUGUCAUUACCAGUUUGGGAUGAGCACAGGGCACUGGGAGGGAGUCAGACCCAGACCGUAACAUGGUGAAGUGCCUGCUUUACACAGGAGAGCGAUGGCACACCGACACGCUCACGUUUGCCGGUUGCCUUGCUCCACGGGGAGCGCUCGGUGAAAGCCGCCUGCCAUGCCCGGAUCGACAUAACCGGGACUGUCGCUCCCCUACGAGCUGAGCCAGCACGCAGGAAGCACGGCAGGACGGACACGGUCCCGGUAGGAAAUCGAAUGUCGCUGGCAGGCAGGAUCUAAUUUCAGCGUCAGGCAAACGAUGUGAC
ensembl:lncRNA